rnacentral:rRNA from 1 species
AUUGAACGCUGGCGGCAGGCUUAACACAUGCAAGUCGAGCGGGGGAAGGUAGCUUGCUACCGGACCUAGCGGCGGACGGGUGAGUAAUGCUUAGGAAUCUGCCUAUUAGUGGGGGACAACAUCUCGAAAGGGAUGCUAAUACCGCAUACGUCCUACGGGAGAAAGCAGGGGAUCUUCGGACCUUGCGCUAAUAGAUGAGCCUAAGUCGGAUUAGCUAGUUGGUGGGGUAAAGGCCUAACAAGGCGACGUUCUGUAGCGGGUCUGAGAGGAGGAGCCGCCACACUGGGACUGAGACACGGCCCAGACUCCUACGGGAGGCAGCAGUGGGGAAUAUUGGACAAUGGGGGGAACCCUGAUCCAGCCAUGCCGCGUGUGUGAAGAAGGCCUUAUGGUUGUAAAGCACUUUAAGCGAGGAGGAGGCUACUCUAGUUAAUACCUAGGGAUAGUGGACGUUACUCGCAGAAUAAGCACCGGCUAACUCUGUGCCAGCCGCCGCUGUAA